CAGUCGAACGAACUUCCGUUAAUUGAUUAUGACGUGCUUGCACUGAAUGAGAUUUUAACACGAAGUGAGUGGCGGACGGGUGAGUAACACGUGGGUAACCUGCCCAGAAGCAGGGGAUAACACCUGGAAACAGAUGCUAAUACCGUAUAACAGAGAAAACCGCCUGGUUUUCUUUUAAAAGAUGGCUCUGCUAUCACUUCUGGAUGGACCCGCGGCGCAUUAGCUAGUUGGUGAGGUAACGGCUCACCAAGGCGAUGAUGCGUAGCCGACCUGAGAGGGUAAUCGGCCACAUUGGGACUGAGACACGGCCCAGACUCCUACGGGAGGCAGCAGUAGGGAAUCUUCCACAAUGGACGCAAGUCUGAUGGAGCAACGCCGCGUGAGUGAAGAAGGGUUUCGGCUCGUAAAGCUCUGUUGUUAAAGAAGAACGUGGGUGAGAGUAACUGUUCACCCAGUGACGGUAUUUAACCAGAAAGCCACGGCUAACUACGUGCCAGCAGCCGCGGUAAUACGUAGGUGGCAAGCGUUAUCCGGAUUUAUUGGGCGUAAAGCGAGCGCAGGCGGUCUUUUAAGUCUAAUGUGAAAGCCUUCGGCUCAACCGAAGAAGUGCAUUGGAAACUGGGAGACUUGAGUGCAGAAGAGGACAGUGGAACUCCAUGUGUAGCGGUGAAAUGCGUAGAUAUAUGGAAGAACACCAGUGGCGAAGGCGGCUGUCUGGUCUGUAACUGACGCUGAGGCUCGAAAGCAUGGGUAGCGAACAGGAUUAGAUACCCUGGUAGUCCAUGCCGUAAACGAUGAUUACUAAGUGUUGGAGGGUUUCCGCCCUUCAGUGCUGCAGCUAACGCAUUAAGUAAUCCGCCUGGGGAGUACGACCGCAAGGUUGAAACUCAAAAGAAUUGACGGGGGCCCGCACAAGCGGUGGAGCAUGUGGUUUAAUUCGAAGCUACGCGAAGAACCUUACCAGGUCUUGACAUCUUCUGCCAACCUAAGAGAUUAGGCGUUCCCUUCGGGGACAGAAUGACAGGUGGUGCAUGGUUGUCGUCAGCUCGUGUCGUGAGAUGUUGGGUUAAGUCCCGCAACGAGCGCAACCCUUAUUACUAGUUGCCAGCAUUCAGUUGGGCACUCUAGUGAGACUGCCGGUGACAAACCGGAGGAAGGUGGGGACGACGUCAAAUCAUCAUGCCCCUUAUGACCUGGGCUACACACGUGCUACAAUGGAUGGUACAACGAGUCGCGAAACCGCGAGGUUUAGCUAAUCUCUUAAAACCAUUCUCAGUUCGGACUGUAGGCUGCAACUCGCCUACACGAAGUCGGAAUCGCUAGUAAUCGCGGAUCAGCAUGCCGCGGUGAAUACGUUCCCGGGCCUUGUACACACCGCCCGUCACACCAUGAGAGUUUGUAACACCCAAAGCCGGUGGGGU
rnacentral:rRNA from 1 species